rnacentral:rRNA from 1 species
UGGGGAAUUUUGGACAAUGGGCGAAAGCCUGAUCCAGCAAUGCCGCGUGUGUGAAGAAGGCCUUCGGGUUGUAAAGCACUUUUGUCCGGAAAGAAAUCCUUGGCUCUAAUACAGUCGGGGGAUGACGGUACCGGAAGAAUAAGCACCGGCUAACUACGUGCCAGCAGCCGCGGUAAUACGUAGGGUGCAAGCGUUAAUCGGAAUUACUGGGCGUAAAGCGUGCGCAGGCGGUUUGCUAAGACCGAUGUGAAAUCCCCGGGCUCAACCUGGGAACUGCAUUGGUGACUGGCAGGCUAGAGUAUGGCAGAGGGGGGUAGAAUUCCACGUGUAGCAGUGAAAUGCGUAGAGAUGUGGAGGAAUACCGAUGGCGAAGGCAGCCCCCUGGGCCAAUACUGACGCUCAUGCACGAAAGCGUGGGGAGCAAACAGGAUUAGAUACCCUGGUAGUCCACGCCCUAAACGAUGUCAACUAGUUGUUGGUGAUUCAUUUUCCUUAGUAACGUAGCUAACGCGUGAAGUUGACCGCCUGGGGAGUACGGUCGCAAGAUUAAAACUUAAAUGAAUUGAC